AUUGAACGCUGGCGGCAUGCUUUACACAUGCAAGUCGAACGGUAACAGGCCGCAAGGUGCUGACGAGUGGCGAACGGGUGAGUAAUGCAUCGGAACGUGCCCAGUCGUGGGGGAUAACGCAGCGAAAGCUGCGCUAAUACCGCAUACGAUCUAUGGAUGAAAGCGGGGGACCGUAAGGCCUCGCGCGAUUGGAGCGGCCGAUGUCAGAUUAGGUAGUUGGUGGGGUAAAGGCUCACCAAGCCGACGAUCUGUAGCUGGUCUGAGAGGACGACCAGCCACACUGGGACUGAGACACGGCGCAGACUCCUACGGGAGGCAGCAGUGGGGAAUUUUGGACAAUGGGCGCAAGCCUGAUCCAGCAAUGCCGCGUGCAGGAUGAAGGCCUUCGGGUUGUAAACUGCUUUUGUACGGAGCGAAACGGUCUGCCCUAAUACGGUGGGCUAAUGACGGUACCGUAAGAAUAAGCACCGGCUAACUACGUGCCAGCCGCCGCGGUAAAAC
rnacentral:rRNA from 1 species